rnacentral:rRNA from 2 species
UUGCCCAGACAACUAGGAUGUUGGCUUAGAAGCAGCCAUCAUUUAAAGAGUGCGUAAUAGCUCACUAGUCGAGUGACACUGCGCCGAAAAUGUACCGGGGCUAAACAUAUUACCGAAGCUGUGGAUUGUCCUUUGGACAAUGGUAGGAGAGCGUUCUAAGGGCGUUGAAGCAUGAUCGUAAGGACAUGUGGAGCGCUUAGAAGUGAGAAUGCCGGUGUGAGUAGCGAAAGACGGGUGAGAAUCCCGUCCACCGAUUGACUAAGGUUUCCAGAGGAAGGCUCGUCCGCUCUGGGUUAGUCGGGUCCUAAGCUGAGGCCGACAGGCGUAGGCGAUGGAUAACAGGUUGAUAUUCCUGUACCACCUAUAAUCGUUUUAAUCGAUGGGGGGACGCAGUAGGAUAGGCGAAGCGUGCGAUUGGAUUGCACGUCUAAGCAGUAAGGCUGAGUAUUAGGCAAAUCCGGUACUCAUUAAGGCUGAGCUGUGAUGGGGAGAAGACAUUGUGUCUUCGAGUCGUUGAUUUCACACUGCCGAGAAAAGCCUCUAGAUAGAAAAUAGGUGCCCGUACCGCAAACCGACACAGGUAGUCAAGAUGAGAAUUCUAAGGUGAGCGAGCGAACUCUCGUUAAGGAACUCGGCAAAAUGACCCCGUAACUUCGGGAGAAGGGGUGCUCUUUAGGGUUAACGCCCAGAAGAGCCGCAGUGAAUAGGCCCAAGCGACUGUUUAUCAAAAACACAGGUCUCUGCUAAACCGUAAGGUGAUGUAUAGGGGCUGACGCCUGCCCGGUGCUGGAAGGUUAAGAGGAGUGGUUAGCUUCUGCGAAGCUACGAAUCGAAGCCCCAGUAAACGGCGGCCGUAACUAUAACGGUCCUAAGGUAGCGAAAUUCCUUGUCGGGUAAGUUCCGACCCGCACGAAAGGCGUAACGAUUUGGGCACUGUCUCAACGAGAGACUCGGUGAAAUCAUAGUACCUGUGAAGAUGCAGGUUACCCGCGACAGGACGGAAAGACCCCGUGGAGCUUUACUGUAGCCUGAUAUUGAAAUUCGGCACAGCUUGUACAGGAUAGGUAGGAGCCUUUGAAACGUGAGCGCUAGCUUACGUGGAGGCGCUGGUGGGAUACUACCCUAGCUGUGUUGGCUUUCUAACCCGCACCACUUAUCGUGGUGGGAGACAGUGUCAGGCGGGCAGUUUGACUGGGGCGGUCGCCUCCUAAAAGGUAACGGAGGCGCUCAAAGGUUCCCUCAGAAUGGUUGGAAAUCAUUCAUAGAGUGUAAAGGCAUAAGGGAGCUUGACUGCGAGACCUACAAGUCGAGCAGGGUCGAAAGACGGACUUAGUGAUCCGGUGGUUCCGCAUGGAAGGGCCAUCGCUCAACGGAUAAAAGCUACCCCGGGGAUAACAGGCUUAUCUCCCCCAAGAGUUCACAUCGACGGGGAGGUUUGGCACCUCGAUGUCGGCUCAUCGCAUCCUGGGGCUGUAGUCGGUCCCAAGGGUUGGGCUGUUCGCCCAUUAAAGCGGUACGCGAGCUGGGUUCAGAACGUCGUGAGACAGUUCGGUCCCUAUCCGUCGUGGGCGUAGGAAAUUUGAGAGGAGCUGUCCUUAGUACGAGAGGACCGGGAUGGACAUACCUCUGGUGUACCAGUUGUCGUGCCAACGGCAUAGCUGGGUAGCUAUGUGUGGACGGGAUAAGUGCUGAAAGCAUCUAAGCAUGAAGCCCCCCUCAAGAUGAGAUUUCCCAACUUCGGUUAUAAGAUCCCUCAAAGAUGAUGAGGUUAAUAGGUUCGAGGUGGAAGCAUGGUGACAUGUGGAGCUGACGAAUACUAAUCGAUCGAAGACUUAAUCAA